rnacentral:lncRNA from 1 species
UAUGUAUAUAUAUAUUAUACAUACACACAUACAUGCACGCAGGCACACACACACGCGCAUACACACCCAACUAACUUACAGAAAUGCACACAAGAAUUUUCUGUACAAAUGUAAACUUAUCUGUGGGAUAUAACGUCGCCAGUUCUCACAAAACCAAACAUUAGAUUAAAACAGACAUGUAAGCAUCAAUUCUCGCCCAGUAGUAAGAGACAAUGUUUAUUGAAGACCAAUCAACUACAUAGCCAUACAACUGUUGGAAAUGCAUAUCUGUAUUUGAGAGGAUAUUGUAGAAAUAUAUAUAUAUAUAUAUAUAUCAGUUGUAGGUAGAUUUUGUAAAUGGUAAUAUCAAACAUACACUCUUGUAUGUUAAUACAUACGGUUCAGAUAGUAUUGAUUCGGUUACAAAGCAAAUUUGUAUAGAUUUUACCCAAAGGUCAGAAAAUUUUCCUGGUUACAAAUCUUAUUCAAACAUUUGAGAGGAGGAAAGCUGUAUUCUAUUGGUUGUAUAUAACAAAUAGUUUUCUCUCCUUCAUCUCCCACAACCUCCAUCAGUGAUGUCGCAAAUAAUCAUAAAAAAAAUAAAUCAAUUGUACACUAUGUGCCAAGGAUUCCUCAGAUCCAAGUAAGUAUCAAUAUUUUGUUGUUUGUUAAUCUUCUUUCUUUCUUUCUUUUUUGUUCCAAUGUUGUUUGCAUUCCUUUGUGUUAUUUUUCUUUGGCAUUAUCCCAAAUUAGUUGAUAUCAGAGUUCUGAAAAACUUCAAUGUAUAUCACAGAAAUAUUAUUGGAGAUAUCUUUCCUUUCUUUUUCUUUCUUUUUUUUUGUUAUCUUUUUUUCUUUUUCUUGGUUUAUUUAUUUAUCUAUAUAUUUAUUCAUUUAUUUAUUUAUUCAUUUGUUUAUUUAUCUAUUUUCUGUCUGGAAGUAACAAUAUCUCAUUGCAUUGUUAGAAUCUUCUUGCUGUUUCCAAACUGUAAAUUCUAAAGCCAGUGUAAUGUCUAAAAUUUCCCAGAUUAAUAUACCUUAUUAUGUUCUUAUUAUGUUAUCUACUUCUUGUUUUCUCAAAUGAGCUCUAAAAUCAGGACAUUUACUUUCCUUCGAACUAACUAACCAACACAAACAGGCUUAGACCUCAUUUAUGAAAGCCAUCUAAUUCCUUAUCUGAUAUUGAUAUAAGGAAAUAUAUUAGAAACAUUUACAUGUGAACAGAGAAUUGACAGCUUACUCUGGAAUCCAAUAACGUCAGCUGACUGAAGCUCUUCAGUCUUUCUAUCCAAACCAUUCGGAAUUCUCUCGCAUUGAAGCAACACUUUUAUAGCAAGAUAGUAAGAUAUUAUCUCUCUAUUCCUGGUUGUAUUCAGACUUCCAAAAACAAUUAAAAAUAUUGAUAUAUAUACAUCUUUUUAUUUUUUUCUAUGACUAGGUACAAGAACUCAGAUUUAUUGUCUCUCACACUGAAGCAAAACUUUUACAAGAUUUUAUCUCUUUAUUCCUGGUUGUAUUUAUAUUUCUUUGAACAGGGAAAUAUUGAUAUAUAUUUUUUACCAUAACUAGGUGCGUGAUUUAAGAUUCACAGAGAAUAAAGAGAUCACAUGGUACUAGUUCCUGUAUAAGGAUCAGAGAAGCACCAUAAAAGACAGAAGCUACAAUUUCGUUUCUAUUCAAAUUGUGGAAUAUUUUUUUAAUAAUAAGCAUUUCUCAGAACAAUAAAAGGAAUUAGAUGAUAAAUGUUCAGAUUAUUAACUUCAUUUUAUUUAGAGAUCAGUGUUGGGCAUUUUCUGGUAUUUAUUAACAUGUGUUAUAUUCUGAGUUCAGAUCCCAUCAGUGUCAGCUUUACCUUCUGGGGUUGAAAGAAUAAAGUACCAGUCAAGUACUGAGGUCAAUAUAAUACAUUAUUCCGUCUCCUAAAACUCUGAAGCCUUGCGUCAGUUGUGUUGUUGAGAAGCUUGCUUCCAAACCAUGUGGUCAUAAGUUCGAUCCUACUGCAUGGCAUCUUUGACAUCUGUCAUCUACUAUAAUCCCAGGUCAACCAAAGCCUUGUGAAUGGAUUUGGUAUCAGGAAACUGAAUAUAUAUGUGUGUAUGUGUGUGUGUGUGGUUGUGUUUGUGUGUGUGUAUGUGUGUGUGUGUGUAUGUGUGUGUGUGUGUGUGUGUGUGUGUCUGUGUCUGUGUAUGUUUAUGUAUAUGUAUACACAUACACACAAGAGAAUCAAUAAAAGAUAUUCAACAUCUUUUGACAUCUUUGGUUGAUUUUGUGUCGCAACUGAAGGAAGAUAAAAUUAAGAAUAAUAUAACUUGGUCCAUAGUAAGGUAGUAUCAUUUCUAGGAAAUGCUGAUUCUGCUCCAAGGAAUCCCUGUCUCUUCUGUGGACCAAUGAAGAGAUCAUUAAUAGAAUUUCUGAAAGAUUCUCAAGAUGCCUACAUGCAUAUAAAUGUACUUUUGUACAAUGCAGUGGGAAUGAAUUGGGGUAACUGUUAACAUAAUUUAUUUUAAGGUAUGGAUGAAUUAAAUUUAGCUUUAACCUCACCAUUCUUAUAAACACCAAUCAGCUAUUUAACUUGCUUUGUGAUUCUGUGUGCAACAAACUACACAUGUGAAAAAUGUUUAUAUUUUUGGGGGAUGCUGGUAUGAGCGAGUGUACAUACACCAUGCAGCUUGUGCAAGGGCGUUUACACAUCCAUAUCUGUUAACAGUUAUUUUUAAAUACUUUUCUCGCUGUAUUAUGUGUUCAUUUCUUUUUCCGCAUCUGUGAUUUUAUUUUGGAUCUUCUGUAUAAAUGAAGAUAUUUCCUUCAUUUUGUUGUUUUUCUUUCUAUGACAGGAGAAAAUACAUUGUGGAACUGAUAUUUUAAUGAAUUGUAUAUAUUUAUCACCCAAUGUGACACAUCUGCACCGCCAGAUGCUCCUGAACCAAUUUUAGGUGUCCCAUCCAUGAGGGAUCGAUGCUACAUGUGUUGAAAUAAUUGUCAUGAUUAAUAAAAAUUCUCGUAUA